UUUAUUCAUCAUUCUUCCAAAUAGCCCAAUAACUGAAAAAGAGAAAUUCAUGUGAGGCCAAUGCCAAGCAUGGACGUCAUUUUCAUUGGGGAAUCACUGGAUAAGCUCAUUUGAGAGAUCCAAGAAGAUAGGGUGGGGCAAGAGAGGAAAAUUCGUCGUAUCGCAUGCAUAUGCAUGUUGCAGAUUGUCCUUCAUAGGGCUGGUGCAAAUAUUCACCACUAUGUUAGCCCUGGAAAUUCCCCUCCUCGUGAUCCUUCUUCCACUGCAAUUUAAUUUUUUUUUCUUUAGUUAACGGAGAAAAAUGUAUGAUGAUGUGAGAGG
rnacentral:lncRNA from 1 species